AUGCCGGAGUGAUGGCUGAGGAGGGAGCUCAGCAGACAGAAGAGGACACAUUUUCCACGCAUAAAACCGCUUUGGCCACCAAGCCAGUCGUCAAGCUAGAAUGAACAAAGAACUGCCAUCUGCUCUGCCCCUUAUAUAAGAAAAACACCACCAGAAAGAUGUCUCCAUUGCUAGGAGGAAACCACCAGGAAACCGACAAAUCUAGUUUAAAGCCCAAAUCAAAUCAUUUGCUGGAGAGAAUCUCUUGUACUGAAUGGAAGCUUCACCCAUCAAUCAAAAGCUGAUUGGUCAAUGAGCUGAGGCAGGAAAUAGGAGGUUGGAGUUUCGACAGAGAGAGGAACUCUGGGAUAGAGUCACGUUGCAAGCAUUCAACCAGAACUCUGAGGAAGCCGGCCACGUGAAACUGAAGCUGUCUAUUCAUCUGUGAAAGAAGGGAAGAAAGUGACUACUCUUUAUCUGGGAGAAGAAAUGAAGUGCUGCUACUUACUCUUUGGGGAGUUUCCACGGAAGGACCAUUAGAAUGACAGUGUUGCAGAUGCAGGGAAACAUCUGUUUGCAGCUGCUGAUGGUUCAUGCCAAUAUUCAUAUCUGGUCCAAACGCUUCAGAAUCCGUGACUGUUCAGUGUUCAGCCUUAAAUGGGACAUCUUAUAUCCAUCUCUUUCAAGGCUCAGGAAACAUCUUGAAAGAAACUCUUGAGCUCGUUGGCAGGAUCCGUUGUCUACAGAGGCCCAUGGGUAAAGAGGAGCAUCAUGGUAGGCCUUGGUGCACAGAGAAAGCCUGCCAGAGUUGGGGAAUAACAAGAUGCAUAUGGAGGAAGGUUGGAGAUCUUUGUGAUCCACUGGGGAUGGAGGCAGAGAGGAGGGGCUGCUUUCCAGUGGUUUACUACAAAGUGGGGUGACACUGAGGGAUUGCAUUUGGAGGAGAGGUGGGUGGCAGUGGUGAAGAUCUGCAGUUAGGUUCCCUGCUUCCUUGGCUGGAAUGGCCUGCACAGCACAAGGCUUUCAUGGUCUGACCCCGUUCAGUUCUUAGGAUCUAGACUUAAGCACGCCUUUCAUCUGUCUCUAGCUGCAGGAUGCCCUUCUUCCUUCCAUGAGAUUUAUAUCAUACUUGACACUAUGAUACUUGCUUCCUGCUGCACCCUGGAUGUGUACACUUUUAACAUUUUCCGAUUAAAC
ensembl:lncRNA